GUGAGGGUUUCUGGCUGGAGAUCUUUGCCUAUGUGAGGUUUUAAAGGUUUUGGCGGUACUGGCUGCUGGCAAAGCUGAGGUCACACACCACGUUUAUAUCCCAAAGGACUGCAGCCCAUGGAGAGAGAGCCUGUGAAGAAGCACAGAAGUAAGGAAUGGAAUAAGCAACCACCAUGUACUGACCUCACCUCUUGUGCUAUUAGGGGUGGAAGACUCCACAGUGAAGCUGAGAUGGGAAAGGGAAUACACGUGCUGCUGACUCUAUUAGUGGCCUUCAGUAUGUCUUCAUCUCAAACAACAUUGGAGAGAAGUUUUACUGCACUACAAAGGCUGAAAGUGCAAUGAUAGUAAUUGCUUCAAGAAUGCUAUUUGCCUUCUGCCAAGAGAAAGGUAGGGAUCAAUCUGCAAGUCUUCUCUCUCAUGUGUAUUAAAAAAAGUGUUUGAGAUUCCACGCAUCAUCACAUUCCAUUAAUAGUCCCAUUAAUCUAACCCACACUACAAGACAUUAAAAACCUAAAAUAAAGAGUGGUGUCUCCCUUUUUCUUUCAAGUUUGACUGUGAAGUGCUCCCAUCUAACAACAGAAGGUAGAAAUUAGUCAGUUUAGAAGCUUUUUUCUCCUUCAGUUGCUUCAGUUCUCCUUCAGUAGUCAAAAGUCCCUGAUGAGAAGGCCAUCCUAAUCAUUGUCCAGUAAUGAACAAAG